GGGCCAGUAGCUCAGUUGGUUAGAGCGCGUCCCUGAUAAGGACGAGGUCAAUGGUUCGACUCCAUCCUGGCCCA
rnacentral:tRNA from 1 species